rnacentral:piRNA from 1 species
UGCUGUUCUCGGGGAGCAGGAGGAAG